GCUUGCUUCUUGGGGUUGUAGGACACUCUAUACGGAGUUACAAAAGAAAGUUAUAAAUGAAGCGGUCUGGAAAGGCCCGCCAAAGACGGUAACAGCCCGGUAGUUGAAAUGGCUUUCCCUCCAGAGUGGAUCCUGAGUACGGCGGAACACGUGAAAUUCCGUCGGAAUCCGGGAGGACCAUCUCCCAAGGCUAAAUACUCCCUAGUGACCGAUAGUGAACCAGUACCGUGAGGGAAAGGUGAAAAGCACCCCGGAAGGGGAGUGAAACAGUUCCUGAAACCGUGUGCCUACAAGUAGUUAGAGCCCGUUAAUGGGUGAUAGCGUGCCUUUUGUAGAAUGAACCGGCGAGUUACGAUUUGUUGCAAGGUUAAGCGGAAAAAGCGGAGCCGUAGCGAAAGCGAGUCUGAAUAGGGCGCAUAAGUAACAGGUCGUAGACCCGAAACCAGGUGAUCUACCCAUGUCCAGGAUGAAGGUAAGGUAAUACUUACUGGAGGUCCGAACCCACGCACGUUGAAAAGUGCGGGGAUGAGGUGUGGGUAGCGGAGAAAUUCCAAUCGAACUUGGAGAUAGCUGGUUCUCUCCGAAAUAGCUUUAGGGCUAGCCUCGAGGUAAAGAGUCAUGGAGGUAGAGCACUGUUUGGACUAGGGGCCCUUCUCGGGUUACCGAAUUCAGAUAAACUCCGAAUGCCAUGUACUUAUACUCGGGAGUCAGACUGCGAGUGAUAAGAUCCGUAGUCGAAAGGGAAACAGCCCAGACCACCAGUUAAGGUCCCCAAAUAUAUGUUAAGUGGAAAAGGAUGUGGGGUUGCUUAGACAACCAGGAUGUUGGCUUAGAAGCAGCCACCAUUGAAAGAGUGCGUAAUAGCUCACUGGUCGAGUGACCCCGCGCCGAAAAUGUACCGGGGCUAAACAUAUUACCGAAACUGUGGAUGAACCUCAUUAGAGGUUCGUGGUAGGAGAGCGUUCUAAGGGCGGUGAAGUCAGACCGGAAGGACUGGUGGAGCGCUUAGAAGUGAGAAUGCCGGUAUGAGUAGCGAAAGAAGGGUGAGAAUCCCUUCCACCGAAUAUCUAAGGUUUCCUGAGGAAGGCUCGUCCGCUCAGGGUUAGUCGGGACCUAAGCCGAGGCCGAUAGGCGUAGGCGAUGGACAACAGGUAGAGAUUCCUGUACCAGUGCUAAUUGUUUAACCGAUGGGGUGACACAGAAGGAUAGGGAAUCGCACGAAUGGAAAUGUGCGUCCAAGCAGUGAGUGUGAG
rnacentral:rRNA from 1 species